rnacentral:lncRNA from 1 species
CUUAAAUACAAUGACAGUGUUGUGAAAAGAAGAGGACACAGAGACAUACAGAGUGGAAGGUGCAUGAAGAUGGAGGAAGAGCUGGGAGUGAUGCGUCUAUGAAACAAGGAAAGCCCAGGAAUGCCCAAAGCCCACAGAAGCUGGGAGAGGCUACGAAGGUCCUGGCCACAGAGCCUUGGGAGUGAGCAUGGUCCUGCUGACGCCAAACUUGUGCCCUGCAGCACUGUUGGAGAUUAAAUGCUUAUUCUUUUAAGUGACUUAGCAGAUGGGCAUUUGCUACGCAGCCACAGAAAACCAAUCCCGGGAUCACAGGAAACCAGCAACUGCAGAGUUGAUGUUUAGAACCUGAGUGGUGUGCAGGGUGGAGGAAGAACCUGC